AUGGCCGACCGGAGCAAAAAGCCGUACGUGGUGGCUGUGGCAAUCCAGGCCAUCUAUACGGGGCUCUUCGUGGUCUCUAAGGCCGCCUUCGACAGCGGCGUCAACACCUACGUCUUUAUCUUCUACCGCCUCGCCACCGCCACUGCGCUCCUCCUUCCAGUCGCGCUUAUCGAUUGCACCUGCCGCCAGAGCCGAUCAACAACCGCAACACCAUCGGCGCCAGCAAUGUCAUGCCGGCUGCUCUUCAAGCUCUUCCUAUACGCCUUGCUCGGGAACACCUUCACCUUGAACGUGUACAACAUGAGCCUGAAGCGGACCUCGGCGACUGUGGGGUCAGCCGCGACAAACUCCAUUCCCGUCGCCACCUUCCUCCUCGCGCUGCUGCUACGAAUGGAGUCAGUAAAGCUCCGGAGCCGCUCUGGGCUGGCCAAGCUCGCCGGCGUCACGCUUUGCCUCGCCGGAGUGCUCAUCAUCGCCUUCUAUGCCGACCCUUCCAUACGCCCGCUCACUCGCAACCCCGUCUUCGCUCACAAGCCGCACAGUGUCAGCACUGGAUCCGAGUGGAUCAAAGGAACCUUCCUUCUCAUCGUCGCAUGUGCAACCUUGUCUCUCUGGAUCGUCCUCGAGGUUCCAUUACUUAAAGAAUAUCCAAACAAGCUUAUGGCCACGGCACUGCAAUGCCUGUUUGGUGCGCUUCAGUCCUUCGUCGUGGCAGUGGCUUUUGAGAGGGACUUCACCAAAUGGAAACUUGGGCUAGACAUUGGCCUCCUUGCGGUCAUCUACUCCGCCUUCUUGGGGACGGGUGCGUUAAUGUACCUACAGGCGUGGUGUGCAGAGAUGAGAGGGCCGGUGUUUGUCGCGAUGUGGAGUCCAUUGGCCUUGGUUUUCACGAUUUUCUGCUCAUCGUUUUUCCUCGGAGAAACUGUCCGCCUAGGGAGUAUUUUGGGAGGAAUUCUACUAAUUGGUGGCCUAUAUAGCUUGCUAUGGGGUAAAAUCAAGGAAAUGGAUAUUAAGAUAACAUCAGCAGUGCCAGGGGAAAUUCAAGUUCAAGCAGACGGAUCGCCAAGGCACCAAAAAAUUGAAGAGGAGGAACUAACAUCACAUGUGUAA
rnacentral:rRNA from 1 species